AGAGAAUUUGUUACUUUGUAACAGAUGGAAAGUACGAUGAGAGAGUAAACUCUUAAAAAUCGAUUUAUUUUGCUUGGUUUAGCUGUCAAUUUUAAAAAUAUAUAAGUCUGAAGUAUCAGAUUGUUUAGAGGAUUAUUCAUUAUAAACACUAUACUGCAUACUGCAGACUGAAAAAAAACAGUCUCAUAGCUCAGCUGGUUAGAGCGCUACACUGAUAAUGUAGAGGUCGGCAGUUCGAGUCUGCCUGAGACUACUUUUUUUUUAUAAAUAAUAUUUAUUUACAGAGAAACGUUCAUAACAUAUUGAAAGGAAAUUCUAGAAGUUAGAGAAUUCAACAUUCAUAAUUCUGAAUAAAAAGAUUCUGAAUUUCACAAAUGGGGGAUUAGCUCAGCUGGCUAGAGCGCCUGCCUUGCACGCAGGAGGUCAUCGGUUCGACUCCGAUAUUCUCCACUAACAGCCAAAUGGCUGACAACGUUCAUUGACAUAUUGAAAAAAGAAAUACGAGAAAAGUAAUAAUUAAUGUUAUUAGUUAGCAAUAACUAGUAACACAUUUUGAAUAACUCAUUAAAAGAGCAAAAAAGUAC
rnacentral:misc_RNA from 1 species